rnacentral:rRNA from 1 species
UACGUAGGGUGCAAGCGUUAAUCGGAAUUACUGGGCGUAAAGAGCUCGUAGGUGGCUUGUCACGUCGGGUGUGAAAGCCCGGGGCUUAACCCCGGGUCUGCAUUCGAUACGGGCUAGCUAGAGUGUGGUAGGGGAGAUCGGAAUUCCUGGUGUAGCGGUGAAAUGCGCAGAUAUCAGGAGGAACACCGGUGGCGAAGGCGGAUCUCUGGGCCAUUACUGACGCUGAGGAGCGAAAGCGUGGGGAGCGAACAGG